rnacentral:lncRNA from 1 species
GCACCUGGGUUGUCUCGAGCCUGCGGUAGUGGCCAGAUCCCAGACAUCCGAGUAGAUCCCGUGAAAAGGAUAAAAUGCAAAUUAAUCAGACUAGUGGUGAGGCCCUCCGUGGUGUGACUAACCUGCAUCCCGACGUUUUCACCCUACUUUGAUCCAGAAAGCACCUUUCCGCCCCAUCUCUUCUCCUUUCCUUAAAUACCCCUUACAACUUCCUGUACCAUUCUUCCCUGUUCAGCUUCUUCUUGGUUUCUUCGUACAUUCUGGAUCCACCCCUUUCAUGCAUAUUCCAGACCACAUUUCCACUGGAGCAGUUGAAAUGAGAGAGAUGGGAAUGGGACUCACCCGAACCAGAGGAAUUUUUAUUACAGACCCAUUAACAGAGGUGUCAAAGUCACAGGAACAAGGAUGUGCACCUCAGAAACACAGAGGUCAGUGGAAAAUCAGUUUGCUUCUAUUUGUUUAAAAAAUGGGGGACUUAUGCAUAAAUCUAAGACCUUCUUGAAUCUAACAUUCUAAGACCUGUAUGCCACAGAAAGGAGGGUCUCAGAACGCCGGAGGAUAGUAUUUAAAUCUUAAAUAUCUAUAUUGUUCUCCACAGUUACUGGGUCACCACAUAGCAGGCAUUCAAUAAAAACGUGUUUGUUUACUAAGUAAUCUAGAGAUAAAUUUUUUCCCCUCAUAGUGCUGCUCAUUUCUCCACUCCCUUCCCUCACUUACCACCCCGGGGACUUCAUUCACCUCUGGGUUCCUCAGAAACAUCCCGUGGGUAUAGUUAUAGUAGCUAUUCUUUCUUUUUCGCCAUUCUCCUUUUAUAUUGGUGACUUUUCCUCUUGCUUAGAUAUUAAAUCUCUGACAUCUUUGGUUAUUUUAGUAUAUAUGAUUACAAAUUAGUGAUAUUGGGAUUUUUUUAUUGAUGAAACCAUCAUUCAAUGAAUAUUUUUUUGCCUUCCUACUCUGUGCCUGGGAUUGCAGUGAUAAAAUUAUAUAGUCCCCACUGCCCAGGAACUCAGAAUCCUGUGAGGAAGGCAGACAGGUAAAUGGAUAAUGAUAACACACUGUGACCUGCAUCAUGGGAGGGAUGUGUAUCAGGCACCACAGCAGCAAGAGGAAGAUGUCACAGGUGUGUCUGGGGAAGUGAGAGAUGACUUCAGAGAGGAAAUGUGGCAUGUUCCUUUUCUGUUGCUGCAUAACAAACUGCCACAAACUUAGUGACUUAAAACAGUGUCUGUUUUUUAGCUCCCAGUUAUACAGAUCAGAAGUUUGCACAGGGGCAAGGCUGAGUUCUCUACUCAGGGUAUAUUGCAAGGCUGAAAUCAAGGUAUCAGCUGGGCUGACUUUUUAUCUAGAGGCCCUUGCAAAGAUCUUCCAAGCUCAUUCUUCUUUGGGGCACAAUUCAGUUUCCUGUGGUUGUAGGAUUGACAUCCCUAUUUCCUGGGCCUGCCUUCAGUUCCUAGAGGUCACCUGCAUUCCUUGCCACAUGACCCCUUCCAUCUUGAAAGCCAGCGACAGAGACCUUCUUGCGUGCCAAACAUCCUCCUACAUCAGAUCUCUCUCUAACUUCCUCUUUUGCUACCAGCCAGAGAAAACUCUCUGCUUUUAUUUUUAUUUAUUUUUUUAUUUUUGAGACAGAGUCUCACUCUGUCGCCCAGGAUGGAGUGCAAUGGCGCAAUCUCGGCUCACUACAACCUCCGCCUCCCAGGUUCAAGUGAUUCUCCUGCCUCAGCCUCCUGAGUAGCUGGGAUUACAGGCACCCACCCCCACGCCCAGCUAAGUUUUGUAUUUUUAGUAGAGACAGGUUUUCACCAUGUUGGUCAGGCUGGUCUCGGACCCCUGACCUCGUGAUUUGCCCACCUUAGCCUCCCAAAGUGCUGGGAUUACAGGCAUGAGCCACUGCACCCGGCUUUUAGAGAGUUCAUAUGAUUAGAUCAGGCCCACUGAGAUAAUCUAUUCUUAACAUCAACAGUGUCACAUAACAUAACCUGAUCAUAGGAGUAUAAUCCAUUAUAUUCACAGUACUGAGGGUUAUGCAGGCUAUGUACACCAGCCGUCAGGGAUCUGCAGGGACAUCUUAGAAUCUUGCUGGCCACAUAUUGUGCCAUGGCUGGCAACUGAAACUUGAACGGGGGUAGUUAUUUGCUGGAAGAAAUAAGGAUGGAGGAGUACGCAUUCCAGGCAGAGGGAAUCAAGUGUGUCCAAGCUUGGAAGUAUGAGGGAACGUGCCCUGCCUAGGAAUGGCAAGAGUUGCUGGCCACUGGGUGUUGAGAGAAAUGCAGGCAGGGGGUGAAGCUAGAGAAGGAAGAGAGCUGCCAGGAGAUUGGGAAGGAGGAAUAUUAGAGCAGGCCAAAUUGCUGGGAAGGGAGAUGAAAGUCUAAAGGUCUAAACCACAGCUGUGGCCAUGAAAAUGAUACGAGUACUAUUGGUUGGGAUGCAUUCAACUGCAGCGAGCAAGACACCUGGCCCAAAACAGCUUAAACAGUGAGGUUGAUUUUGUCACAUAACAAAAAUCCAGUGGAUGGAUCCAAGGUUGGUUAGGGCUGUGAACAGGCAUAUUGAGAAUCAAUGGACGGCCACCUCAGCUCCAAACAUGACCUCCCACACAGUAAAGAAGGGGGAACCAUCCCUCUGUUUCUUUCCCUCAUUCUUUUUUAAAAUAAACUUUUUAUUUUAGAAUGUUGACGAAAGAGUCAAACUCUAUAAAAUAUUUGAAGAGAUUUGUUCUGAGCCAAGUAUGAGUGACCAUGGCCUGUGAUACAGCCCUCAGGAGAUCAUGAGAACAUGUGCCCAAGGUGGCCAGAUUACAGCUUGGUUUUAUACAUUUUAGGGAGACAUGAAGCAUCAAGCAAUACAUGUAAAGUGUACAUUGGUUCAGAAAGUCAGGACAACUGGAAGUGGGGGCUUCCAACUCAUAGAUGGAUUCAAAGAUUUUCUGAUUGGCAAUUGGUUGAAAGAGUUACUAUCAAUAGAAGAUAAUUUCUGGGUUACCGUAAGGGGUUAUGGAGACCAAGGUUUUAUCAUGUGGAUGAAGCCUCCAGAUAGCAGGCUUCAGAGACAAUAGAUUGUACAUGUUUCUUAUUGAACUUAAAGAGUCUGUUCUGUCAGAAAUUCCAAAAGGGAAGAGGGUAGAAUGAGGCAUGUCCAGCUCCCCCUUUCCUUCACAGCCUGAACUAGGUUUUUCAGGUUAACAUUGGAGUGCCCUUGGCCAAGAGGAGGGGUCUAUUCAGGUGGUUGGGGGCCUUAGAAUUUUAUUUUUUGUUUACAAGAACAGUUUUAGGUUUACAGAAAAACUGAGACAAUAGUACAGAGACUUCUCCUAUACCCACAUUCAGCAUUCAUUUUCUCCUAUUGAUAUGGUUUGGCUUUGUAUGGCCACCCAAUCUCAUGUCAAAUUGUAAUUCCCAGUGUUGGAGGAGGGGCCUUGGUGGAGGUGAUUGGCUCAUGGGGGUAGAUUUCCCCCUUGCUGUUCUUGUGAUAGCAAGUGAAUUCUCACAAGAUCUGGUUGUUUAAAAGUGUGCAGCACUUCCCCCUUUGAUGUUUCUCUCUCCUGCUCUGCCAUGGUAAGAUGUGCCUGCUUCCCCCUCACUUUCCAUCAUGAUUGAAGUUUCCUGAGGCCUCCCAGCCUUGCUUUCUGUACAGCCUGUGUAACUGUGAGUCAAUUAAACCUCUUUUCCUCUUAAAUUACCCAGUCUUAGGUAGUUCUUUAUAGCAAUGUGAGAACAGACUAAUACACCUAUUAUUACGAACUUGUAUUAUUAGUAUAGUACAUUUGUCAUAACUAGUGAACCAAUAUUGAUGCAUUGUCAUUAACUGAAGUCCAUACUUUAUUCAGAUGUCCUCAGUUUUUUCCUAAUGCCCUUUUUGUGUUCCAGGAGCCCACACUAUGCUUAGUCAUCACGUCUCCUUAGGCUUCUCUUGGCUGUGAGUUCCCUUGUUUUUGAUGGCCUUGUGCUAAGGAAUACUGGUUAGGUGUUUGGUAGAAUAUUCUUCAAUUGUGAAUCAUGUAAUGUUUUUCUCAUGAUGACACUGAGGUUAUGGGUUCUGGGGAAGGAGACCACUGAAGUAAAGUGCCAUCUUUAUCACAUCCUAUCAAAGGUAGUCCAUUGUCUUAGUCCAUUUUGUGCCCUGUAACAAAAUACCACAGACUGGGUAAUGUGUAAUGAACAGAAAUUUAUCUCUCACAGUUCUGAAGGCUGGGAAGUCCAAGAUUGAGGGGCCCACAUCUGGCAAGAACCUUCUUGCUGUGUCAUCCUGUGGGGGAAGGGCAAAGAGAAGAUGAGAGAAAGAGCAAGAAGAGUCAAACUCAUCCUUUUAUAAGGUGCCCACCCUAGAUAAUGACAUUAAUCCAUUCAUGACGGCUCUCCCCUCAUAACUUAAUCAUAACUUAAACACCUCUUAAAGGUCCUACCUCCUAACAUUGUUGCAUUGGGGAUCAAGUUUCCAAAACAUGACCUUUGGGGGACAUAUUCAAACCAUAGCAGGUAUAUACUGUCAGUAUGAUUUAUGACUUGGUGUUGAGCUUGAUCACCUGCCUGAGAUAGUGUUUGUCAGGUUUCUCCCCCAUAAAGCUACUCUUUAUUCACCUCUUUCCAUACUAUACUCUUUGCAAGGAAGUCACUAUGCUCAGCCCACACCUAAGGAGUGGGGAGCUAUGCUCCACCUCCUUGUGUGUGAAGUAUCUGCAUAAAUUACUAGGAAUUCUUCUGCAUGUGAGAUCUGUCUCUUCUCUCCUGUUUACUUAUGUAAUCUUUUAUUUAUAUUAAUAUAGAAUUGUGGGUAUAUAACUUAUGCUCUGGGUUAUAAUCUAAUACUACAUUACUUAUUUUGUUGCUCUAAUUAUUCUGGGUUUGGCCAUUGGUAGCUCUUUGAUUUGUCUCCUGUGUCCCUUUGACACCCAUCAUUAUGAUUUUUUUUUUCCUUUUUCAGCACUUCUUUGCUUUCUGGCACUGCCAGCGCUCCAAAAUCAUCUUGAAUAUUUCCUGUCCCAGUCUAGAAUCAGCCAUUUUUCCAAAGGGCCCUGGUUUCUUUUGUUGGAGAAUGGUGUUAGAGACCAAUAUCUGGUGCUAGGUGUGCUAAGGAUUCUCUUUUCAUUAAGGAUAGUAUUUCCAGGGCCAGGCGCAGUGGCUCACACCUGUAAUCCCAGCACUUUGGGAGGCCGAGGCAGGUGGAUCACCUGAGGUCAGGAGUUCAAGACCAGCCUGACCAAUAUGGAGAAACCCCAUCUCUACUAAAAAUGCAAAAAAUUGGCUGGGCAUGGUGGCAUAUGCCUGUAAUCCCAGCUACUCAGGAGGCUGAGGUAGGAGAAUUGCUUGAACCUGGGAGGCGGAGGUUGCAGUGAGCUGAGAUCAUGCCAUUGCACUCUAGCCUGGGCAACAAGAGUGAAACUCUGUCUCAAAAAAAAAAAAAUAGUGUUUCCCAUCAGCCUCCCAGAAGACUACCCAUUUUGUUUUUGCAGCAAUGUCUGCUAAUUGUGCCCCCAAAUUCAUUCUCCUCUUCCCAUUGUAAUCAAAUUUUAUCUGAGCAUAUAGGACUCUCAUAAUAAAGAGUUCAUUCCCUAGCCUCCCUUGCAGCUAAAUGUGACCAGGUGACUAAGUAAUGGCAAAAGGGAAGUCAACUGAAGUGUGUCCAUCCAGGGACCUUCACUGAGAGUCCCUUUCUUAAGAGACUACUGCUUUUACAUCUUUCCUCGUCCCUUCCUCCCACACUGGAGUACUUGCAGGCCAUCUUGGAGAGUCAGGACAUGGGGCAUACACAGGAAUGGUGGCUCUGGGAGCAGAAUCCCCUCCCUAAUCUGGACCACAGGGCUGUGUAGUUUCUCAUGGGAGAUGUAAAUGACUGUCCCUGGUAGCUGAACUGACUGCUAAUAGUAUCUUGUUGGCUGGAGUUGGGUCACAUGGUUAUGCAUGCAUAGAAGUCAGGAUCACCAUGAUGGGUUCAGCCCACACGAGGACCACCGGGGGCUGGGCACACUGCCUGGCUAUAUCUAAGCAGAAGCCGGAUUAGGUUACAAAGGAGCUGAGAGAUGGAUGGUUGUUGCCUAGCAGCCAACUGUGUUGGCUCUGAGAAGCUCAUGGAGAGGCAAGACUUGGGGGACCAGAGUGGACUGUAGGG